rnacentral:rRNA from 1 species
AUUCUGUAGCAAGGUUAACCGAAUAGGGGAGCCGGAGGGAAACCGAGUCUUAAUUGGGCGUUAAGUUGCAGGGUAUAGACCCGAAACCCGGUGAUCUAGCCAUGGGCAGGUUGAAGGUUGGGUAACACUAACUGGAGGACCGAACCGACUAAUGUUGAAAAAUUAGCGGAUGACCUGUGGCUGGGGGUGAAAGGCCAAUCAAACCGGGAGAUAGCUGGUUCUCCCCGAAAGCUAUUUAGGUAGCGCCUCGUGAAUUCAUCUCCGGGGGUAGAGCACUGUUUCGGCUAGGGGGCCAUCCCGGCUUACCAACCCGAUGCAAACUGCGAAUACCGGAGAAUGUUAUCACGGGAGACACACGGCGGGUGCUAACGUCCGUCGUGAAGAGGGAAACAACCCAGACCGCCAGCUAAGGUCCCAAAGUCAUGGUUAAGUGGGAAACGAUGUGGGAAGGCCCAGACAGCCAGGAUGUUGGCUUAGAAGCAGCCAUCAUUUAAAGAAAGCGUAAUAGCUCACUGGUCGAGUCGGCCUGCGCGGAAGAUGUAACGGGGCUAAACCAU